GACGAAGGUGGCAAGCGUUAUUCGGAUUUACUGGGCGUAAAGCGCGCGUAGGCGGCUUGGCAAGUCGGACGUGAAAUCCCUCAGCUCAACUGAGGACGUGCAUCCGAAACUGGCUAGCUUGAGUACUGAAGAGGAUCGCGGAAUUCCCGGUGUAGAGGUGAAAUUCGUAGAUAUCGGGAGGAACACCAGUGGCGAAGGCGGCGAUCUGGGCAGAUACUGACGCUGAGGUGCGAAAGCGUGGGGAGCAAACAGG
rnacentral:rRNA from 1 species